ensembl:lncRNA
UUGGGAUGAAACUGAAAUCAAAAAAGGAGAGAAGGCAGAAAAACAACAACUCCCACAUAGCCAGCGCUUGCAAAACAACAAACAAGUGACAUUUAGCAUGACGGCUUUAUUGAAAAUCUUUCUUUCAAAGAUCUCUGUUCUCUAAACACGUGCACAGUGUUGUAUAUCAUAAAUCCUGGUUACUGUGGAGACUGUAAAGCCUGAUCGCGUUCAACACAUCAGUCCCGUUAUGUGGGGUUGUGACCAGUGGAAGAAAUCUGACAGCAAACUAUAAAUCAAAAGCUACUUCACAGGUACCUGCAUGCAGCUGUCUGCCGUUCAGCCCUUGAACAUCAAGCAAACCCAAGUCUACUUAUUUAGGAGCCAAAGGAACAGCUGGUUCCAGACGCUGCAAGGGUUAAAGCGACUGUUGCCCGCAGUGGACUUCUUUUUAUUCCUCCCUCAGUGAUUCUCCAAAACAAGCAGCAUCAAAGCGCUACCUUUUAAUUGCAUCGCUUUCAAGGCUGCAAACCCCAAAAUGUUGCUGCUGGUGAUUGUAAGCCAAGACAGCGUGGUGCAAUAUAACGGAAUCGAAUCAAUUUUGACACAUCGUUGCAAUCGACUGGGCCGCUGUUCAGAAUCAAACAACACACUCUCUUCGAAAACAGGGAUGUGUGAAGCCUUGAUGUCCAUGGCAGCUUCUCUCUACAUCGUGGCAUUAUCAAGAUGAGAAGUGUACGACGCCAUGAACCGCCUAUUGGAAUGGAAUAACAAGGGAGACAGACCUGCAACCCCAUCAACCACGUUAUAUUAAAAAAGAAUGCGUGAACACCGUGCACUCGGUACUAUUUAUAUUGCCUUUGAUCGCCCCCCCCACCCCACCCACACACAGACUCACGCUUAUUUAAUAGAAAACUUCUGGAGUGGAUUUGCUGUGUGAGAGGAAACCGUUUAAUGAAAAAGAACAACAGCGCCCCCCCCCCCCCUCCC